rnacentral:rRNA from 1 species
AGUGAACGCUGGCGGUAGGCCUAACACAUGCAAGUCGACCGGCAGCACAGGAGAGCUUGCUCUCUGGGUGGCGAGUGGCGGACGGGUGAGGAAUACAUCGGAAUCUACUCUGUCGUGGGGGAUAACGUAGGGAAACUUACGCUAAUACCGCAUACGACCUACGGGUGAAAGCAGGGGACCUUCGGGCCUUGCGCGAUUGAAUGAGCCGAUGUCGGAUUAGCUAGUUGGCGGGGUAAAGGCCCACCAAGGCGACGAUCCGUAGCUGGUCUGAGAGGAUGAUCAGCCACACUGGAACUGAGAAACGGUCCAGACUCAUACGGGAGGCAGCAGUGGGGAAUAUUGGACAAUGGGCGCAAGCCUGAUCCAGCCAUACCGCGUGGGUGAAGAAGGCCUUCGGGUUGUAAAGCCCUUUUGUUGGGAAAGAAAUCCAGCUGGCUAAUACCCGGUUGGGAUGACGGUACCCAAAGAAUAAGCACCGGCUAACUUCGUGCCAGCCGCCGCAGUAA